UACGUAGGGUGCAAGCGUUGUCCGGAAUUAUUGGGCGUAAAGAGCUUGUAGGCGGUUUGUCGCGUCUGCUGUGAAAUUUCGGGGCUCAACCCCGAACUUGCAGUGGGUACGGGCAGACUAGAGUGUGGUAGGGGAGACUGGAAUUCCUGGUGUAGCGGUGAAAUGCGCAGAUAUCAGGAGGAACACCGAUGGCGAAGGCAGGUCUCUGGGCCAUAACUGACGCUGAGUGAGCGAAAGCUAGGGGAGCAAACGGG
rnacentral:rRNA from 1 species